rnacentral:rRNA from 1 species
GACGAACGCUGGCGGCGUGCUUAACACAUGCAAGUCGAACGGAAAGGCCCUUCGGGGUACUCGAGUGGCGAUCGGGUGAGUAACACGUGGGUGAUCUGCCCUGCACUUUGGGAUAAGCCUGGGAAACUGGGUCUAAUACCGAAUAGGACCACGGCAUUCAUGUGCUGUGGUGGAAAGCUUUUGCGGUGUGGGAUGGGCCGGCGGCCUAUCAGCUUGUUGGUGGGGUAAUGGCCCACCAAGGCGACGAGGGGUAGCCGGCGUGGGAGGGUGACCAGCCACACUGGGGCUGGGAUACGGCCCAGACUCCUACGGGAGGCAGCGGUGGGGAAUAUUGCACAAUGGGCGCAAGCCUGAUGCAGCGACGCCGCGUGAGGGAUGACGGCCUUCGGGUUGUAAACCUCUUUCGCCGGGGACGAAGCGCAAGUGACGGUACCUGGAGAAGAAGGACCGGCCAACUACGUGCCAGCCGCCGCAGUAA